UACGUAGGGUGCAAGCGUUAAUCGGAAUUACUGGGCGUAAAGGGUGCGUAGACGGCCUAUUAAGUCGACUGUGAAAGUCCUGGGCUCAACCUGGGGACGGCAGUUGAUACUGGUGGGCUUUGAGUUUGGGAGAGGGUGGUGGAAUUCCCGGUGUAGCGGUGAAAUGCGUAGAGAUCGGGAGGAACAUCUGUGGCGAAGGCGGCCACCUGGCCUGAAACUGACGUUGAGGCACGAAAGCGUGGGGAGCAAACAGG
rnacentral:rRNA from 1 species